GGGCCGCUAGCUCAAUUGGCAGAGCAGCAGACUCUUAAUCUGCGGGUUGGAGGUUCGAUUCCUCCGCGGCUCACCA
rnacentral:tRNA from 1 species